ACCUCUGUGGUUAAGUGCACUGAGCUGUGGACUCCUGUUCUACAGGUCCCAGGUUCGAUACCCGGCAGUAGAGGUA